rnacentral:lncRNA from 1 species
CAAUUAUGUAAUCGACUACUGAACUUUAGAUCUGAUAUACUAUCAUUUAAAUACUAUAGUAGUUUAGUACGCAAACAGAUAGCAAUUGAAUACACACGAUAAGGCAAGUGCAUUAUUUAUGAAUGAAUGUUUGACAUCAUACAUGUAUUUGAAAAACAUUAUUUUAUUUCGUCAUGUUCAUGUUAUUCGUUGUAACAAUAGUUAUUGUUACACUCGAGUUCAAACAAAUACUAUACUAACAUACAUUGCCUAUAAUUGCUUACAUUCACUUCCCUUGAACUUAGAUGGACAGUUGUCUCAUUAGAAAUCAUACCACAUCUCCUUAUUUUCAUAUAUAAAAGUGCAUUUUGUGUCUUCUAUACAUUUUUAUACCCCAUUUAUGGGUGUAAUGUUUUCUGGUCUGUGAGUUCGUUCGUUCGUUCGUUCGUCCGUCCGUCCGUUCGGUCGUUUGUUCGUCUAUCCGCCUGUUCUUCCGUCCGUUCGUCCGUCUGUCCCGCUUCAGGUUAAUGUUUUUGGUCAAAAAGUAUUUGAUGAAGUUUAAAUCCAAUAAAAUAUUAACUUAGUACACAUGUUCCCUAUAAUAUGAUAUUUCAAAUGUUAAUGCAACAUUAGAGUUUUGACCAUAAUUUCACCGUCCACUGAACAUAAAAAAGUGCGAUUGGGGCAUCCGUGUUCUAAUGACACAUUCUUGAUUAAAAAUGAAAUGUUGGUAAUGUUUAAUAUUUGUCGGAAGUUUAUUUAAUGAAUAACAUGCGAUUGAUUUUUCUGCAUGUAUAUUUCACGGAUAAAAUUUGAGUUAGUAGCAGCUAUAUUUUAUGGAUAAAAUGUAAAUUUGCUGUAGCCAUAUAUUUUAAUUAAUGAAAUAUAAAUAUAUUGCAUGCAUACUUGAUGGAUGAAAUGUGAUUAAAAUGCAUGCAAACACGUCAGCAGAAAAAGUAACAUUUUAACCGUAUUACCUUUUUUGUCGUUGCAAAAAGUAAAAUUACACAAGUACUGAACUCUGAGAAAAACUUGUGCGUAAAGUCCCUAAUGAAAUGGCAGAAUCGAAAGCUCAAGCAUAUCAAACGAAUAGACUUUGAUUAUAAAAAUUGUAAUAGACCUGAAACUAUACAAUACAUUUAGGUAAAAGUCAAUAUAAUUUAGUAUUUUGAAAACAAUAUGAAGAAAUUUACUCAUUAUAUUUAAAGCAAAUUCAGACUGUUAAAUAUUUUAUGAUAGGACAAAGUGAAGAAUAAAGGACAAAAAUGAGGAUAAAGGGGUUCUCAAAUAUGAAGAAUAGUGAAGUCAAAAUUUGUAUAGACAAACGAAAAUGUAUUUAAAAGUUAUAUGAUUCUCCAAUUAUUUUCUGUUCUUUAUUUUAUUUUAACUAUUUGUUGACGAUUUGCUUUAUUUUCUCUGUUCUUUUGUCUAUUUGUCCGUUUUUUAUCAUUAUUUCUCCAUCCUGUAAACCGAAUUAAGACCAUCAUGGUAUUUUUUCGGUAAAACCAUAAAAUACCGAGUGGGGUAUUUAAGUCACGAGUUUAAUAAAAGCUGUUAACACCAUGACCAAAUAGAAAAUAACGAAAAGACGAAUACAAAUAGCAGAAGAUUCUACAGUUAACUUAAAAAUGAAAAAAAAAAACGUGAACUCAACCAAACACAGGAGGGAACUGAGGUUCUAAAGUAAAGUAAUUCUCAAACUAAACAAAUAAAUUCAUCAUAGAUACAUGGAUUCAAAUUUUGUUUUUUUGUUUCUAUAAAAGACUCAUUAGUGACGCUCGAAUCAAAAAUGUUUAAAAGGCCAAAUAAAGUACGAAGUUGAAGAGCACUGAGGACCGAAAAUUCCUAAAAGUUUUGCCAAAGACAGAUAAGGUUAUCUAAUCCUGAGGUAGAAUAGCCUUAGUAUUUCAGAAAAAAAAAUCGAAGUUUUGUUAACAUUUAAUUUAUAAUUAUGAACAUAUCAAUGAUAACUCAAGUCAACACAGAAGUGCUGACUACUGGUCUAGUGAUACCCUCGGGGAAAUAAAUCUCCACCAGCAGUGGCAUCGACCCAGUGGUUGUAAAUAAACUCAUCAUAGAUACAUGGAUUCAAACAGUGUAUUCUUCUCAACUACAGGUUUCAUUUGCAUCCUUAUACAUGACUUACAGAUGCCAAAGAAUAAUUGAUUGCUUGAUUGACGCUAUUUUCAACACUAUUGUGGUAUUACGUGGCGGUCUCAGUUUAUCGAAUAAGGAAGUCAGAAAGCCCACAGAGAACUGCCAACCAUAUACAUACCAUGUACACAACAACUUACUGAUCUUAGUCAAUUAAUAAGAAUAAGAAUCGAUUGCACCUGCAACGAGCAUGGUUCCAACUCACAAUUUCAGUGGUGAGAUACUUGUAGAAGUUUGAGUACUUAAAUUAUUCUACCAUUGAGGCCUCUCGGAUGUGGAAGAUAUUUAGUAUUUAAAAUUUCUUGUGGAAUGUAUCCGGAAAAAAUGCGUAAAGCCGGAUAUAUAUAUAUUUUUCAAUAUAUAAAAUAAAUAUAAAGUAUUCAUUUGUUUAUAUGUAAAUAUUCAAAAGUUUUUAUUCGUAUUAUUGUAUAUCUACUUACAGAAACCUCCACAAUGAAGUAUACCAUGCUUGUGAUAUUAGUCUUCUUAAUACUUAAUGUAAGUAUUGUCAGCAGCGCCUCAACGUGUACUCAGUGUAAACACAACUUUUCGUCGUGUGUUCACCAUUGUCCAGGGAGCGGCACUGUAGGCAAAAAAAGGGACGAAUCAAAAGAAUAUCACAAUACAAAGAGGGAUGCUCAUGAUGAUUGUCUUAUAGCAUGUAAUCACACUUACAAUAAAUGCAAGAGUGAUUGCGUCUAAUCAGCACAGAUUCAAAUAGUGAACAUAUAAAAAUGUGACCAAUUGAACAAUAUGUUUGUUUUCCAUUACACAUUAAAUAUGAAAGUAUGAAGAAGUGGUUUUAUAUAUUAAAGGUGAUCGUUUA